GCGAGCGGGUCGGUCGUCGAGUCGGAUUCGAAUUGGAAUCGGAAAUAGCGGUCUAGCGGAGAGCGGGCCUUUCUGCCUUACUGUGUGCUUUUGAAAAAAGUUUGUUUGAAAAAAGAGUAAAGAAAGCGGCGCCGCCAAGUGAGCGCGAGUGUGUGUGUGAGCCUCUGUGUUUUUGUGUGUUUUUGCAAAUACAAAAGAAGCAGCCCCCCAAAACAAAAGCAACAACAAAGUGUCGGCGGCUUUCGCGGUGGCAGCGCAGUAGCAGCGACGCAGCAGAGCAGUAGCAGCGCAGCGGCAGAGCGACAUCCAGUGCAUUUUGGUGCAAACUAAUUGUUGUUGUGAGAGCGAAUGUGUUUCAAUGAUGUUACUGCCUUCGGGGCGUUCGAAUAGUGAUGUCUAUCCGCUACAAAAUGCCGCCAACAACACAGCAACAUCAUCGACCGGAGGAGUAGUAUCAACUGGAGGAGGAGGAGCAGGAGGAGCCACAGCCAGGCCCAAACCCUUGCUACUGACACGAACAUCAUCGCCUCAAUUGACAACGCUGCCGACAACAAAUGGCUCCGUUGUCCAUGCCACGCCCACCCGCUCCAACGGAUGUCCGCUGCCGCCCCAAUCCUCCGGAAUCCCGGCGACAUUGGCAACAACAAUAGCCACAUCUGCAGCAACCACCGCCGUGGAGGCGACAACAACCUCGGAGCUUGGCAUCGGGAUUGGAAAUGGAAUCUACGGACCACUUUUGGGUCAAAGUCAUGCGAGUGUUAUCGCUGGCAUGGCCGAAAACUGGCCAGAAAUUGAUGGACACUUGGAGGCCAUACAGGAAAAGCUCAAGCCCGGCUGGAGUGUUCAUGUGGGCAAGGAGGGCAGGCUCUACUACUGCAAUCACAUGACGCAAUCCGCUGGCUGGCUGCCUGCCGUCGAGGAUUGGAGCAAACACGAGGAGCUCUCAUAUGGCUGGGAGCGUGCCAUAGACUCCAAGGGUCGUUCCUACUAUAUCAACCACCUCAACAAAACGACCACCUACGAGGCACCCGAGUGCAUACGCUGGGAUGAGCAUCCCCCAGAACCACGACACGUUCAACUGCAAAGGAAUGCCAGCCUGGGAUUCGGAUUCGUGGCCGGGAGUGAACGUCCAGUGAUUGUGAGAUUUGUCACGGAGGGCGGUCCGAGUAUCGGAAAACUGCAGCCGGGCGAUCAGAUCCUGGCGGUGAACGGUGAGGAUGUGAAGGAUGCUCCGCGGGAUCAUGUCAUCCAGCUGGUGCGAGCCUGUGAGUCGCAGGUCAAUCUCUUCGUGUGCCAACCCAUGGCGCACUGCGUCAUGCCGGGCAGGAAGUCCACGCUUCUUUCCGCCGGCAAGCGAGCCAAGCUGAGAUCACGUCCUAGUCGCGUUCGAUUCGCCGAGAGUGUCUGCGUCAACGGAGCUCCACUGUUUCCGCCCUCGGCCUUUUCCCUGGGCGACAUCUGUGUGCCGCCGAUGGCCAACGUGCUGAAGGUGUUCCUCGAGAACGGGCAGACCAAGUCCUUCAAGUACGACGCCACCACCACGGUGCAGGAUGUGGUCAGCUCGCUGCUGGACAAGCUCUGCCUCUGCUGCGGCGAGCUCUUCAGCUUGGUGCUGGAGCACGUGAAGAGCCUCAAGCGCAACAAGCUCACCCUGCUGGAUCCCCAGGAGUCGCUGGCCAGGAUUGCCGCUCGUCCGGGGGCGCACAAGCUGAGGUGCCUCUUCCGCAUCACCUUCGUGCCCAUUUCGGCCGCGGAACUGGCGCAGCGGGAUCUGCACGCCCUGGACUACCUGUACUUGCAGUGCUGCAACGACGUCAACCAGGAGAGAUUCGCCCCCGAGCUGCAGCCGGAAUUGGCCCUCCGAUUGGCCGCCCUCCACAUGCACCAGCACGCCCUGGCCAACAACUUUGCGCCCGCCAAGCUCACUGUUAAACUGGUCGAACGCGAGUUCGGGCUGGAGCGCUUUGUCCCAGUCAGCCUGUUUGAGGGCAUGAAGCGGAAGGAGCUGCGCCGGCUGAUUUCACACUUCCUGAAGCUCAACGCGGAGAUGACGGGAUCCUCCAGCAAGGUCCUCACACAGCUGCAGGCCAAACUCCAUUAUCUAGAUAUAAUCGCUAGCUUACCCAGCUAUGGAGCCAAAUGUUUCAGCACAAACCAAAGAGAGGGCGUCGAGCGCGUCCUGCUGGUGAGUCCGCGCUUCGGACUGAGCCAGAUCUCCAGUGCCCGCAAUUCGGUGCAGCCCCAACCCAUUUCGGCCAUCGAGGACUUCACCCAUGUGGUGGUGAAUCGCGAGGACGAUGUCACCUGCAGCGUAUCCAUCUUCAUGCUCGGCGAUCGGGCGGUGAAGUUCAUCAUGGAGGAUCGCGAUGGCUGCGAAUUUAGUCUGGUCCUGGGUGGCUACUAUCGAUUGCUGACGGGUAACAUGCUAAAUGUUCUGCGUGAACGGGAACCCAACGACGAGGACAACUCGCCCGGUUUCCUUAGCCAACACACAGUGCUCCCGGCGGGUUGGAGCUACCUGAUGCCCUUCCACACGCGGGCGCACAGCGUCAACUUCCUGAUGGCGCCGCCCUACCAUCCGCUGGUCCAGCGGCCGCAGCUCCAGCAGCAGACGUCGGUCAGUCAGGCGGCGGCACCUGCCUCGCUGCCCUACGCCAUGGACCUCGAUCUGCACAGUGUGAUGGCCACCGAGCUGCUGGAGGAGGCCGCCAAGGAUUCGGGGCUGAGCGACAGCAGUGGCAGCAAUUACGCCGAGGGACGCAGUCACUCGGGCAGCCACCAGCUGGAGGCCAAGAACGAGCAGGUUCUGCGAAGGGUUCAGGAGCUGCAGCAUUUGGUCCAAACCUCCGAGCAAUAUCUCAGUGAGCAGGAGCAGGGUGGCGCAGGAGGAGUGGCUGUCCUCGAAUUCGACUCGGAUUGCGAUAGUCUCAACAGCAGCAAGGUUUCCUCGACGGAGGAGUCGCAGGGUGGAGUGGGAAUGUCCAUUCCCCCGGGACAUCCGCUCAAGCACAGCGAUUCCCUGACGCUCCUGGCCGAGACAAUUAACCACGAGCUGAGCGGCAUAACCCAGGGAUUGAACGCCAUUCCAGAAACUGCACCCGUUUCCACAUCUGCGCCGGCUACGCCCGCCACUCCCAAGAGGAAACCCAGUCUGUGCAGCACCUCCAGUCCGCGUCCGCAGAGGAAACUGAAUGGUUUCAGUCAGCUUCUGAGCGACCUGCAGGCCCUGGGCACUGAUUUCUCCCAGAGCGAAAGUGACUCGGAAUCGGUGGCUUCACCCGCUCAAUCGCCAACAGCCAGGCGACCGCAGAUGAUGCUGCUCCAGGCGGCGGGAACUGCGGCACCUGCCAAACAGCAGCUCUCCCAGCGGAGCAGCUUUGGCCUCCACAGUCCCGAUGGCACGCAUUUCGGGGCCGAGACGAAGGACUACAACCUAAGGGAGUAUCUUCAACAGCUCAAGGAGAUCAGCAAUGCGGCAGCAGCGGACACUGAUGUGGCUGCCCGCCAGCUUUCCGAGAUCUAUGGCUUCGAGGUGCGGGAAGAUACCUUCAUUGAAACCGACACGGAUCUCAUAGAUCUGCGUGCCAUUCCACCGCCUCAAACGCCCGAUGAACUGGAUUCCCUAUCCCUGAUGAACGCCGCUCCUCCAAAGGGUUUCGAGGGAAGAGCCGAAGAGCUGGAUAGUUUCCUGCAGCAAAUAAUGGUGGCUCCGCCCACGCAGAAGGCCACGCCCGCCAAGGAGCUGACGCCCGAGGAGAUCAUGUCGUUCAUCAUACCGCCACCUCCGAAUUUGGAGCAACAGCAGGUGGCGCAACCGAUGGAAACGGAGUCCCUCUACAGCAACUCCGUUCAGGCCAAGCGGGAGUUCUUCCAGUCGGUGGCCAAUGGCCAGUCCACCGCUAGUGCACCCCAUGUCAUUGAAUACGCCACCGUGGAGCGGAAGAGCAAGUUCAGCUGCUGUCCAACGAGCAAGAAAGAGGAGCAGCCGGAGGAGGAGGAUCUGCAGCCGCCUCCCAGAACGCCCACUUGCGAGCAGCUCUCACCGCCGCCGGCGAGACCACCGAAAAGUGCCGAGCUGCUGCAGCGUUACUCGCCCAAGAAGCAGGUGAGGAUGGCCGCCAGCCCAGUGAUGCAGCAGCAGCUGCAGCUGGAGAGGAAUCCCCCGCAACUGCCGCCGCGGGGAAGUCCCACUUUAGAUGGAGCUGGGCAGAGCAAUCCUCCAUCGAACCUGGUGAGUGGUGGCCCCAAGAAACCCCCGCUGCCGCCCAUCGCCAGCCGCCCCUCGCGUCCUUCCAAUGGAACUGCUGCACCACCACCUGCCCACCACUACUCACCACCCAUACCGGCCACCGUCCGUCUGCCCCACUUGAAUCAGAGCCAGAAUCCGAACCAGAAUCCCAACCAGAAUGGAACCCUUCCCCUGCUCCCCAAGAAACCGCAGCAGCUGCAUGGCGAGAAGCUGUUCCUGAAGAACGGUCACCUCAUCGACGGCGAGGCGCUGUUGGCCAAAACGGAUGUGGCCAUGGCGGGUCUUCUGAUCAAACUGGACCAGGUGGCGGCCCAGUGUUCGGUGGCCCAGGCGGCCGGAGGAGGAACCUCCAUCGACGAGGAGAAGUUCCAGCGAGCACGCAACGAACUCACCGAACAGACUUUGGCUUUGGUCACCGCAAGCAAGUUCCUGGUGGCCUCCAUGUCGGACAUGACACUGAUUACGCUGCCGGAGCAUUUGACCUCCUGCCUGACGGCCAUCCGCAGGAUCACCGAGCUGGCCCAGGACAUGACCAGGCACACUUCGGCCCCGCUGCAAACGAGGAAUAUAGUGCUCAAAGUGCACGAUGUGGCCAGCAGUUUCAGGGAGCUGGUGGGCGUGGAGAUCGGACCCAUUGGCGCCGGUCAGUUGGCGCUGCAGGCCGAGUGCCUGGCCAAUGUCCUGGCCACUCUGCUGCGAUCCCUGCGCGUCUUCUCCCCAUAACCCACGGAGAUCGGAGCAGCCGGCGGAAGUGGAGAGGACAGGAACGAAAGUGUCGCCCGUCUGUCCAUGUGUAAAUCCCCCUGCACCACCUACGUCUAGAUGUGCUGUACCCUAUAUAUAUAUAUCGCAUAUGUAUCCUAAAAUACAUCGUCUUUCGAAACUAAUUUACAGUACUGCUCUGUAUACCAGCCCGAACCAAUCCCUCACCCGAAAAACAUGAAACCAAUUUAAAGGAAACACCAUGACUUGAUUAUCUAGACCAAUUUAUAUGAGAACCUAACGGAAAUAUGUUUAUUAAAUUAUGCUAUUAGUAUAUUUUCUUAUGUACAUAAUUAACACACAUACCUAAUACCAUAAAUAUACAAGUACUAUAUAUAACUAUUAUAAUAAAAUUGACCAAACAAUAAUCAAAAUUUUAACUUGUGAUAUAAAAAGUGGAAAAAGUAAAAGCAAAAAAAAUAAUUAACUUUUACAUUUUCUUUGUUUAACAGCAAAUGUUUUAACGCGAUUAUUUUAUAUGUUCGUUGUUGUUAGAAAACGAUCAACUUUUUUGUUAUUGUUUAUGUGUCAUACCUUUUGUUGUAGUUGUUGGCGAAGUACAAGAAUGCGCACUAAGUUGUAGCUUUAACUAAUUAUAUUAUUGAAUACAAUAUGAUUAAACCGUAAUCAAGGAAGGCAAUUCAAAUAUAACUAAUCGAUAAUUGUUUUCAUUUUGUUUGAAAUAUUCUGUUGAAGCAAGCACACACACAUAUGCAUAACAAACAUAACCAUAUGAUAUAUACAUACAAGAAUUAUACAAAUAUGAACUAAAUUAAUAAUACGCAUUAAGUAAAGCAUAAUCAAAUGUACAAUGUAAAACAAUGUAACUGUUUAUGAUUUAAUGAGAACAAAUUCGAAAUGCAUAUGAAAUUGUAUGGAAUAAAUUCAAUAAAUAAACCAAAGUAAAAUAAAGAUA